UUGCACGCUGGCGGCAUGCUUUACCCCUGCAAGUCGAGCGGCAGCGCGGGGGCAACCCUGGCGGCGAGCGGCGAACGGGUGAGUAAUGCAUCGGAACGUAUCCUCGAGUGGGGGAUAACCCAGCGAAAGUUGGGCUAAUACCGCAUGAGCUCUGAGGAGGAAAGCGGGGGACCUGCGAGGGCCUCGCGCUGGAGGAGCGGCCGAUGUCCGAUUAGCUAGUUGGUGGGGUAAAGGCUUACCAAGGCGACGAUCGGUAGCUGGUCUGAGAGGAUGAUCAGCCACACUGGGACUGAGACACGGCCCAGACUCCUACGGGAGGCAGCAGUGGGGAAUUUUGGACAAUGGGGGCAACCCUGAUCCAGCCAUGCCGCGUGAGUGAAGAAGGCCUUCGGGUUGUAAAGCUCUUUCGGACGGAACGAAAUGGGCGGGACUAAUACUCCUGUCUGAUGACGGUACCGUAAGAAGAAGCACCGGCUAACUACGUG
rnacentral:rRNA from 1 species